rnacentral:rRNA from 1 species
GACGAACCGUACGAACGUUAUUCGGAAUCAUUGGGCUUAAAGGGUGCGUAGGCGGUGCGGAAAGUUGGGUGUGAAAUCCCUCGGCUCAACCGAGGAAUUGCGCCCAAAACUACAGGGCUUGAGGGAGACAGAGGUGAGCGGAACUGAUGGUGGAGCGGUGAAAUGCGUUGAUAUCAUCAGGAACACCAGUGGCGAAGGCGGCUCACUGGGUCUCUUCUGACGCUGAGGCACGAAAGCUAGGGGAGCAAACGGG